rnacentral:rRNA from 1 species
GACGAACGCUGGCGGCGUGCUUAACACAUGCAAGUCGAACGGAAAGGCCCUGCUUGCAGGGUACUCGAGUGGCGAACGGGUGAGUAACACGUGGGUGAUCUGCCCUGCACUUCGGGAUAAGCCUGGGAAACUGGGUCUAAUACCGGAUAGGAGCCAUUUUUAGUGUGAUGGUUGGAAAGUUUUUUCGGUGUAGGAUGAGCUCGCGGCCUAUCAGCUUGUUGGUGGGGUAAUGGCCUACCAAGGCGGCGACGGGUAGCCGGCCUGAGAGGGUGGACGGCCACAUUGGGACUGAGAUGCGGCCCAGACGCCGACGGGAGGCAGCAGUGGGGAAUAUUGCACAAUGGGCGCAAGCCUGAUGCAGCGACGCCGCGUGGGGGAUGACGGCCUUCGGGUUGUAAACUCCUUUCGCUAGGGACGAAGCUUUUUGUGACGGUACCUAGAGAAGAAGCACCGGCUAACUACGUG